UCAAAGCAUCAUCUUCUUCCAAACCCAGAACCACAAUUCCUCCAACCCAAGUGCUGCUUAUAAGAAAAAACUCAUUUUUCACUUUUUCUGUUCGAGCACAGAUACGUUGGUGGAGAGAUUCUAUGACGAGAACAUCAUACAGCAACUAAUUUUCCGCUGCUUAGAAGUUGUGUUUGGAACUGUGGUGGAUUAAUUAAUUUCUUGAGAUCUUUGUAGCAGAAGGCAAAUAAGUUGCUUCUAAUUCCAGAGUUUUGAAUCCUUAUUUAGAUUCAGAAGUGAAAAAGAGGUUGAAAUGAUUGUUGCUAGAAAUUUCUCCCAUUCAAAGCUUAAGCCGCUCGUUUAUUUAUCACUCCUUUCUGAGUGCAAAAACCAUGCACAGUCAAAUCUUUUUGCAACCUUAAUACAAGACUCAAACCCACAUCUCCAUAGUUUUACAAAAAAUUUACCACAUCCAUCGAGUAAUUUGUUUAGGUAUUUCUCUUCACAACCUGCAGAUUCGGCUUCAAAACAAAAGUUGCCUUUCUCUCGUGAGGGUAAUUAUGAUGAAGGAACUUCCCAAUCUCUUCAUGUCUGCCCUGGUUGUGGGGUUUGUAUGCAAGAUUCCAACCCAAAACACCCUGGUUAUUUCAUUAAACCAUCUGAGAAAGACAUAACUUAUAAAUUGUAUACCCAUCUUGAACCUGUUGCACAAGAGCCCGAGUUCUCUAAUACCGUUAAAAAGGGGUUUGUUAUUGAACCAGAGAAGCUUACUAGUGAUGAUAACUUGACCAGGAAACAAGAAAAGCCAGUAGUAUGUGCACGCUGUCAUUCGUUGAGGCACUAUGGGAAGGUGAAGGAUCCAACUGUGGAAAAUUUGCUACCAGAUUUCGACUUCCAUCAUACAGUGGGAAGGAAGUUGGCAUCAACAAGUGGGCCCCGUUCAGUGGUGCUUAUGGUUGUGGAUGCAGUGGAUUUUGAUGGGUCAUUUCCAAGGAAGGUUGCAAAGUUGGUUUCUGAGACAAUUGAAGAUAACUCUUCUGCAUGGAAGCAGGGUAAGUCAGGGAAUGUACCUAGAGUAGUACUUGUGGUUACAAAGAUUGACUUAUUGCCUAGCUCAUUGUCACCAACAAGAUUGGAGCAUUGGAUUAGGCAAAGAGCUAGAGAGGGUGGCAUUAUUAAGAUUACUAGUUUACACAUGGUGAGUGCACUUCGAGAUUGGGGACUUAAGAAUCUUGUGGAUGAUGUAGUAGGAUUGGCUGGAUCUAGAGGAAAUGUGUGGACUGUUGGGGCACAAAAUGCAGGAAAAAGUACAUUAAUAAAUUCUAUAGGAAAGCAUGUUGGAGGGAAGAUUACACAUCUGACAGAAGCACCUGUUCCAGGGACUACACUUGGCAUUGUUAGAGUGGAGGGUGCUCUUCCAAGUCAGGCAAAAUUAUUUGAUACACCCGGCCUUCUCCAUCCUUACCAGAUAACAACAAGGUUAACGAGGGAAGAGCAAAAGCUUGUUUACAUGACCAAGGAGUUGAAACCUAGGACAUAUAGAGUUAAGGCUGGUCAUUCGAUUCACAUAGCUGGUCUUAUGAGAUUGGAUGUAGAAGAAACGUCCCUGGAUACUAUCUAUGUCACGGUGUGGGCGUCACCUUAUCUUCCUCUGCAUAUGGGUAAAGUAGAAAAUGCAAGUAAAAUGUUCCAAGACCAUUUUGGACACCAGUUACAGUCUGAAUUUUUGUUUGUGCAGCCACCAAUUGGAGAGAAAAGAGUUGGAAAAUUGGGGAAUUGGGUGAGAAGGGAAUUUCAUGUUGGUGGAAACAGUUGGGACUCGAGUUCUGUAGACAUUGCUGCUGCUGGCCUUGGUUGGUUUGCCAUUGGACUUAAAGGAGAAGCUGUGUUGGGUGUUUGGACUUAUGAAGGAGUUGAUGUUGUUCAUCGCAAUUCUUUGAUACCCUAUAGAUCAAAUACUUUUGAAGUUACAGGAUUUACUGUAUCAAAGAUUGUCUCGCAGUCUGACCGAGCUUCAAAUAAGCCACAUCAACAAAGUGACAAAAAGACGAAGCGGAUUGAUUCAAAAACACUAUCCAGUUCGGUUGAAUCGCCACUAUUGGCUUCUGUCAGAGACAUAUAAUAAUGAUGUCUAUUAAUGCAGACUAGGAUUGGCUCUCAAUGUUUUGGAGGUAAUCAAUUUUGCAUCGUUUGUGAAUUUAAAUUCAACUAUUUACUAAGAAACUUUUUGGGACACACUUUAAUAUUCCUAAGAAAAUUGGUAGUUAUAAUUUUUUACUAUUUAUUGUAAAAAAUGUAUAUAAAAUUCAUAGGAAUCCAUUUUCCCACCCUUUCACUUGGGAUUAUGUCAUGGAAAUAUUGGAAGUUGUGAGAAAUAUUGGAAAAAGGAAGGGAUUUGGAGUAUAAGUUUCGAUACUAGUUUGCAGCUGCAGCUGCAACGGGCUUAUAUAUGUUUAUUAUUAGCUACUUUUUUAUUGAUUGUGUUUUUGUUUGCAUCUUAGGUGUUUGUAAAAUUUUUUGAGUAGUUGUGGGAGGUUUUGUUAUCUUACUUUGUAGGUGGAUCAUAAGUGACUGUGGUUGAUUUAAUUAGCUUAAUCUUUCCUUUUUUCUUUGUGAACCUCAUUUAGCAGGUUUUGAGUCUCAUCUUUUUUCCUCAACCUUGGCAUUUCUUGUGCUUUGGAUUGAGAGGAGAUAUGUUCGUGGAGAGAUUCUAUGACGAAAACAUCAUACAGCAACUAAAGUCCAAAUGUGUUUCAAAGGCAACGCUGCAAAACUGCUGGCUUUGGAAAAUGAUAAAGCAUACCUUGGAGUAAA